CACGUAGGGUGCGAGCGUUGUCCGGAAUUAUUGGGCGUAAAGAGCUCGUAGGCGGUGUGUCGCGUCGGCCGUGAAAACCUGGGGCUUAACUCUGGGCUUGCGGUCGAUACGGGCAUCACUGGAGUUCGGCAGGGGAGACUGGAAUUCCUGGUGUAGCGGUGAAAUGCGCAGAUAUCAGGAGGAACACCGGUGGCGAAGGCGGGUCUCUGGGCCGAUACUGACGCUGAUGCGCGAAAGCCAGGGGAGCGAACGGG
rnacentral:rRNA from 1 species